AGUGAACGCUGGCGGUAGGCCUAACACAUGCAAGUCGAACGGCAGCACAGUAAGAGCUUGCUCUUACGGGUGGCGAGUGGCGGACGGGUGAGGAAUACAUCGGAAUCUACUUUUUCGUAGGGGAUAACGUAGGGAAACUUACGCUAAUACCGCAUACGACCUACGGGUGAAAGCAGGGGAUCUUCGGACCUUGCGCGAUUGAAUGAGCCGAUGUCGGAUUAGCUAGUUGGCGGGGUAAAGGCCCACCAAGGCGACGAUCCGUAGCUGGUCUGAGAGGAUGAUCAGCCACACUGGAACUGAGACACGGUCCAGACUCCUACGGGAGGCAGCAGUGGGGAAUAUUGGACAAUGGGCGCAAGCCUGAUCCAGCCAUACCGCGUGGGUGAAGAAGGCCUUCGGGUUGUAAAGCCCUUUUGUUGGGAAAGAAAAGCAGCAGGUUAAUACCCCGCUGUUCUGACGGUACCCAAAGAAGAAGCACCGGCUAACUUCGUG
rnacentral:rRNA from 1 species